AAGGACAUCUGAAUAUCCUUCUGUAGAUAAAUUCGCUGUAGGAAUUCCGAGUACUUUUGAGCCACGCCCAUAUCCCUUGACGACAGGACCUCCAAUGUACAAAGGAUUAAUUGGUAAGGUGUUCUCUACCCAAUCUUCAAAUGGAGGUAGGCCCCACUUCUGAGGCUGAAAGUCAAGCAGUGAAUUGAUCACCUCAUCCGCUGAAGAGUAAAGAUGAGACUUUUUUGGAAGGGAUGGUACAGCAACCACCUUCAUCCCAGCAGCCUUACCAGCUGUAACACCUGGACUGGUAUGCAUGUUGAGUGAGAAGUUAUAGUCUUGGGAGUUAAUAUCUUUACAUAGAAGAAUACGAAAUUAAAA
rnacentral:misc_RNA from 1 species